UACGUAGGUGGCAAGCGUUGUCCGGAAUUAUUGGGCGUAAAGCGCGCGCAGGUGGUUUCUUAAGUCUGAUGUGAAAGCCCACGGCUCAACCGUGGAAGGUCAUUGGAAACUGGAAGGCUUGAGUACAGAAGAGGAAAGCGGAAUUCCACGUGUAGCGGUGAAAUGCGUAGAGAUGUGGAGGAACACCAGUGGCGAAGGCGGCUUUCUGGUCUGUAACUGACGCUGAGGCGCGAAAGCGUGGGGAGCAAACAGG
rnacentral:rRNA from 1 species